UACGUAGGGUGCAAGCGUUGUCCGGAAUUAUUGGGCGUAAAGAGCUCAUAGGCGGUUUGUCGCGUCUGCUGUGAAAUCUGGGGGCUCAACCCCCAGCCUGCAGUGGGUACGGGCAGACUAGAGUGCGGUAGGGGAGAUUGGAACUCCUGGUGUAGCGGUGGAAUGCGCAGAUAUCAGGAAGAACACCGAUGGCGAAGGCAGAUCUCUGGGCCGUAACUGACGCUGAGGAGCGAAAGCAUGGGGAGCGAACAGG
rnacentral:rRNA from 1 species